CACGUAGGGCGCGAGCGUUGUCCGGAAUUACUGGGCGUAAAGCGCACGUAGGCGGCUUUGUAAGUUAGAGGUGAAAGCCCGGGGCUCAACUCCGGAAUUGCCUUUAAGACUGCAUCGCUAGAAUUGUGGAGAGGUAAGUGGAAUUCCGAGUGUAGAGGUGAAAUUCGUAGAUAUUCGGAAGAACACCAGUGGCGAAGGCGACUUACUGGACACAUAUUGACGCUGAGGUGCGAAAGCGUGGGGGAGCAAACAGG
rnacentral:rRNA from 1 species